GUGGAACUCCUGAAUGCAAGCAGCAUUGGGUCUCAGAGCCAGAUGGCUGCAUCCUCUAGAAGGGCUAUGGAUGCGUGAUGUGUCAUGUGAGAACUCCCCUGCCUGCUCCCACCUGGACAAGACCCCCUGAAUGCAUCUUUGUUCAAAUCUUCCCCAGGAAGGUCGAGAAUCCCAAGGUGGCACCUCAUUGAGAAAAUGGCAGUGUCUCAGUAAGUGACAAGAGCUGGUCCUUACUCAGGAAGUUCAGAUGACGAAAAUCCCAGUGCAUAAUCGUGC